UACGUAGGCAGCGAGCGUUGUUCGGAGUUACUGGGCGUAAAGGGUGUGUAGGCGGUUGUUUAAGUUUGGUGUGAAAUCUCCCGGCUCAACCGGGAGGGUGCGCCGAAUACUGAAUGACUAGAGUGCGGGAGAGGAGAGUGGAAUUCCUGGUGUAGCGGUGAAAUGCGUAGAUAUCAGGAGGAACACCGGUGGUGUAGACGGCUCUCUGGACCGUAACUGACGCUGAGACACGAAAGCGUGGGUAGCAAACAGG
rnacentral:rRNA from 1 species